AACAUGGAUAAACCUGGAGCACAUUAUGUUAAGUGAAAUAAGCCAGACAACAAAAAGAUAAAUACUGCAUGAUGUCACUCUGGUGAAAUCUCAAAAGUGGUUCUCAUAGAAGUAGAGAGUAGAAUAGUGGCUGCCAGAGACUGGGGGGUGGGGAAGAUAGGGAGAGGUUGUUCAAAGGAUACGUAAUUACAGUUAGAUGGAAGGAAUUAAUUCAAAAGAUCUAUUGUACAGCAAGGUGACUGUAGUUAAUGAUGAUUUAUUAUGUUCUUGAAAAAUGCAAAGAGAGUGAAUGUUAACUGCUCUCCCCACAAAAAAUAACUGCAUGAGGUAAUGCAAUCGUUAGGGAGAUUUAACCAUUCCAUAAUGUGUAUAUAUACUUCAAAACAUCAUGUUGUACAUGAUAAAUACACACAGUGUUGUCAAAUCUUAAAAAAAUAAUUAAAAAGAAUGCAUCAUAGAGUCAAAACCAAGGUGAUUGCUUAAAACUCUCUCAACUACCCAUAGGCAGGACCACAAAGAUUUUGUUCUCUGGAGAAAGUAACCUGCAAACUUUUCGGUUGCAGGGACUGAACAGAGAGGGUGAGGGUAAUCAUGGGGCUGAACACAGGUAGAUUUCAGGGAGGUCUGCCAACUGAACUGAGGGGAUGCCCCAGCCUGGACAUCCAGGACUUAGAGUCACCAUAGUUAAUGUUUGCCUAAGAAAGCACUCAGACCAAACUGGAUUCAAAUCCACGCUGCCAGUUGCUAGCUAAAUGAUCAUGAAUGAAGUCAUUAACCUCUUCAAGCCUCAGGUCUCUUACCUGUAAAGUAGAGAUAAUAAUAUGUAUCCGAGUUGUUGUGAUAAUUAAAUUAGAUAAUAUAAAAAUGGUAUUUAGUACAUGUUUGGCACAUUAUACAUAAUAAAUGGUAGCAAGCAUUAUCAGUAAAGAGCAGGGUCUAGAAUCCUUUCUGAAGGACUUGAAACUACCAUUAAGUAUAUGUAAACUGACUCCUUUCUUUACAUUAUUUUCUAACAGAUUACUAUAGAAGUAUAACCUGAAGUCUUCAGUAAGUCACAGGUUACAAUCACGUUUGGUCAGGAGAACAUUCCAGAACGGGCUCUGAAGUUAGACAAAAUUGACUAUUUCUGGCUCUUGCAAUUACUAAUGUGAUCUUGACAAGUCACGUGUUUCUCACCUGUGAAGUUGGAAUAGCAACAACUAUGUGCAAGAUUGUUGCGAGGACUGGCCAUAAAGCAGGCAUGCCCCAGCAGAGUGCCUAGGACAUAGUGGGUGUCAACAAACAGAAGCCAUUUUCACCAUGAUUAUUAUUAGGCCAAAAAAAAUUAUAAAUGCCAAUUGAAAAUCUGAUCAACUUUGGAAUAAAUAUGCUUUGGGCUAUUUUUGCCAUUCAUCAAAUAUCACUGGGGUGGGAGGGUUGUCUGACUGUUAUCCAAGUACUGGGAUUCCACUGACUUCUAAAUCAAUUUGGAAAUUAACACAGUGUACUUCUAAGUGGUAAACUAUACGUCUUUUUUUGUCUAGGACAUUUGCAGACAUUUCAGCCAAACUGGCAGGGAAAAUGAUACUCAAUAUUUUAGGUAGCUUUUUACACUGGGAUUUUAACUUAUGCAGUUUUUCUUUCUCUGUAAAGUGGAGUCUCUGGCCAGAAUUAAUUAGAACAGCACUUUUGUGGCUUGUACAUGGACACUCAUCUUCAUUUCUUGGACUCUGAGCCUCAAUUUCUCAUUCAAGUGGAGAAAGCAUAUAACAAGAAUAUGUAAUGGACAUCCUACCUACAAUUUUCAGUAUAACAGUUACAGCAAGUAAAGUGAAUCAGGAUAAGGUAAGCUUCUUAUCUAGAAACUGUGAGGGCCCCAACUAAUCACCAACCACUUUUGCUAAACCAACAAGUGACUUAAUUUCUGUUUCCAAAGCCAUAACUCUAUGCUUUUAUCAAACACUUUCUCUGACCUGCAGGAAUGUGUUUAUUUGGAGUUUAUAAAGGAAAUCUAGAAGGGAAACACUAUUCAUAUAAGCAUGACAAACCUCAGCUGAUUUUAAACACCCAAGUGCAGGAAUAAAACGGAGUAUCUUAUAUGUCUAUAAACCAAGUCAGAAUGCUUCCUCCAGAGAAAAGACACAUACAUUCCCAACCUAAUACUGCUUGUUUUUAGAAAUACAAACUAAGGUCAUAUUAAGCCAGGUUAAGAGGAGGAGAAGGUAGCUGCCCUUCACAAGUUUAUCCAUUCAGAGAGGAAGAAGUCAAGGGGAAAAUUGCUCUCCUCUGACUAAUGCAGUAUAAUUGUUUCCUCAUGAUGGUCCCCCUCCAUUUUUCUCCCUUCAAACGUUCCCAUGGCUACAAAAGGACAUGACAUACACACACACACACACACACACACACACACACACACACACACAUACAUACAUACAUAUAUAUGUAUUUUAAAAAGAAUCACAAAUCGCAGGGACAUAAAAUGGCUUCCUGUGGUUAAUCUGAAUUUGUCAUUUUGCUUUUGAGAUUUUCCUAUUGGCCCACUUAACCCAGCACCUCAUGUAUAAUGAAUAAUGUAAAGGGGGUAUGGGGAUGCCUAUUUUAAGAGACCAAAAAUGCCAGGUAACAACUUUAAGGCCAUUACAAUUUUAUUCUAUACACACACACACACACUCUCACUAAUA